rfam:Musa acuminata subsp. malaccensis Doubled-haploid Pahang (DH-Pahang) genomic chromosome, chr5
AAGAUAUCAUGGUAGUUGAGGCUAAAAAACACUCAUAAAAAGGGUGUUGUCAUCACCUACAUCUCUUUUAUACUAUAGGGGAUUGUAGUUGAAAAACAACACAAGAUCU